rnacentral:sRNA from 1 species
CUUCAUCCACUUGUUGCGGGCAAAUUAAAUGAAUGUGCGUAUCGAAACCACCAGCCGUGAUAAUCUUGUUCUCACCAGCAAUAACGUCCGUGGAUGCACCCACCACCAUCUCGGGGUGCACGCCUUCCAUGGUGUCCGGGUUUCCAGCUUUGCCAAUGCCAGAGAUGAGGCCAGCCUUGAUACCAAUGUCGGCCUUGUAGAUACCCGACCAAUCGAUGAUCAGCGCAUUCGUGAUAACCGUGUCCAAACACUCAGCCGCAGAGCGACCAGAUGCCUGCGCCAUUCCAUCGCGGAG